rnacentral:ncRNA from 1 species
AUGGUAUUGAGUUCUGAUGCAAGCUUCUUGAUCAAAGUACUAAAUAAAAUUUGAUGAAUUGUUUUUCAUUUCAGUGCUUAUUCAAUUAAUAUUUAGAAUUUAGUGUAACUCCCAAUACUCAGGUAUGAUCCAAUUCAAGGACAUUGCCAGGUAGGGUGGUUGAUUGGGACGGUACAUCUCUCGAAUAAUAACGGACGUAUCACAAGGCCAAGUCAGAACAGAAACGGACAGAAACCAUACAUAGAGCAAAAGGGCAAAAGCUGACUUGAUCUCGGUAUUCAGUACACACGGGGACAACACAAACUCGGCCUAUCGAUCCUUUUGAUUUAAGGAGUUUUUAACAAGAGUUGUGUCAGAAAAGUUACUACAGGGAUAACUUGUGGCUUGUGGCAGCCAAACGUCCAUAGUGACGUCCCUUUUUGAUCGAUUCGAUAUCGGCUCUUCCUAUCAUUGUGAAGUAAAAUUCACCAAGCUUUGGAUUGUUCACACACCUAUGCAACGUAAUAAUUAUUCUCGUU